UGGGGAUUGAAGCUUUUUCAAUAAAGUGGGUGCAAGUGCCAAGUGGGUGGAAUGAUAAUAAUGAUAGUAAAAAAUUAAAAAAAAAAAAAAAUGUAAGCCAAUUGAGAAUGAUCUCCCUCAGACUGCCCCCUACUCCUGAAGCUUAUACACAAGAUUCCAAUCACUGGUGUAUUCGAGUGUUUUGGCUAUCUUAAUUUGCUUCGUUUCCUGAUUCAUUCUUCCUUCCUACCAAGAAAACCAUGGCAGAGUUCGUUGUUACGAAAGUGGGAGAGUUCAUUUUCUCUAAAUUAUUAGAGUCGCUGUAUGAAAAUUUGGCGGUUCCCAAGUUUUGGGACUUCGUACGCGGACAGGGACUUCAAGAAAACCUGGACAAGUGGAGAACAACGCUGCCAGCUAUUCAGAAAAUGCUUGAUGAUGCGGAGGAGAAGCAAUAUACUGACCCGGAUGUGAAAAAGUGGCUGGAUGAUCUCAGAGACUUGAUUUACGAUGUGGACGACAUAGUGGAUGAGCUCAUCACUGAAGUAUCCACGGCUGAAAAUAAGGUUCGCCCAAGCAAGGUACCGAAACUCACCUCAUCAGCUUGGUUUACUCCAAGGUAUUUUGAGAUCGAUAGUAGGCUGCGGUCAAAGAUAGAGGAGGUCACGGGUCAAUUGAAUGAUAUCCUGACUCGGAAAGGUCAACUGAAUUUGAAAGAAACUGGUGAUGGGAGGUCACAUAUGAAAACAGGAGUACAGGCGCCAACUUCUGUUCUGACUGAACCUCGAGUUUAUGGCAGGGAAAAAGAUAAAGAGGCUGUGCUGGAAUUGUUGCUGGGUGAAAAAUGUAGUGAGGCUGGAGUCUCUGUGAUUCCUAUACUCGGUAUGGGGGGUAUAGGAAAGACAACUCUUGCCCAGUUUUUAUUUAAUGAUGAAAAAGUGCAAAGCUUUUUUGAUCUAAAAGCUUGGGCUUGUGUUUCUGAAGAUUUCGAUAUUGACAGAGUGACAAAAGCAAUUUUACAGUCUCUAACCCAUGAAAACUGUGAUGGCAAGGAUAGGAAUUGGUUGCAAGUCAAACUCAUGGAGAGACUGAAUGGAAAGAAGUUUCUAGUCGUUCUUGACGAUCUAUGGAAUGAGAACUACCAUGACUGGACUAUCCUACUUGCUCCUUUUCUAGCGGGAGCUCCUGGAAGUAAGAUUAUCAUCACAACUCGUAAUGAGAAAGUUUCAUUAAUGACAGGUACCAUUCAACCCCAUCACUUGCAAGUGUUGUCAAAAGAUGAUUGUUUGUCUUUAUUUACCCAACACGCAUUGGGGGCAAGUGAUUUCAGUGCAGAUCGAACCCUUCAAGAUAUUGGUGAAAAAAUCGUUGAAAAAUGUCAAGGCUUGCCUUUAGCAGCAAAGACCCUCGGAGGCCUCUUGCGCACUACACGAGACCGUGUUGAGUGGGAAGAAGUACUUAAGAGCAAGAUAUGGGAUAUAUCAGAGAAGAGCAGUGGAAUUCUUCCGGCUCUUAUGUUGAGCUACCACCAUUUGCCUUCCCAUUUAAAGAGAUGUUUUGCGUAUUGUUCAAUAUUCCCCAAGGACUAUGAAUUUGAAGAGGAGAAGUUGGUUUUGUUGUGGAUGGCAGAAGGUCUAAUUCAGUCACGAGAGGGGGAUAAACAAAUGGAAGAUUUGGGCAGCAACUAUUUUCGUGCUCUGUUGUCAAGGUCCUUUUUCCAACAAUCAAAUAUAAAGGAAUCACAAUUUGAUAUGAUGUGGUCUCGUCCACCCGGGCUAUAUCUCAACCAAUCAAGCAUGAAGAAAUCACGAUUUGUGAUGCAUGACCUCAUCAACGAUUUGGCCCAAAGGGUUGCGAGAGAUAUAUGCUUCAGAAUGGAGGAUCGAAUUGGGGGUAGUGAUGGAAGUAAACUUCCUAGAAAGGCUCGACACUUUUCUUACUUGGGUGCCCGAUACGACGGCAUUGAAAAGUUUAAGGCAUUUUUUGAACUCAAAUGUCUGCGUACCUUCUUGCCUCUUAUGCUUCCAGCUCCUUGGGGAUGUUAUUUGACUCAUAAUGUUCCUCUUCAAUUGUUGCCAAAACUACUAUAUUUGAGAGUGCUCUCUUUGAACGGGUACUGCAUAGUUGAGCUACCGGAUUCGAUUGGAGAUUUGAAGCAUCUACGGUACCUUGACCUUUCCUACACUCUAAUUAGAGGCUUGCCUAAAUCGACAACCACUCUUUAUAACUUACAGACAUUGAUAUUGGAGGAUUGUUCUUAUCUAAAGGAGUUGCCUUCAAAGUUGUGGAACCUAGUCAACUUGCACCACCUCAACAUUCUAAAUGCAAAUAUGCUGAAAGAAAUGCCUCCUCAAAUAGGUAAAUUAACUUAUCUCCAGACAUUGUCUAAUCUAAUUGUGGGAAAAGACAAUUAUUUCAUGUUAAAAGAGCUAGGUUCAUUAUUGCAUCUUCGAGGGACACUCAUCAUCUCGCAAUUGGAGAAUGCUACUGAACCCAGGUAUGGAAGCGGUGAUAAAUUAAUUGAAAUGCCUGCUCUUACUGCAUUGCACUUGGAAUGGAGUGUCAACGUGGAUGAUUCACAAGACAGAACAAGUGAGUUAGACACACUUAACAUGCUACAUCCAAACAAGUCUUUGAAAGAGCUCACCAUCAAGAGCUAUGGUGGUGCAAAAUUUCCGACUUGGUUAAGAGGUGACUCACUUCCUCAUGUAGUGUUGCUAAGGAUUGAAAACUGUAAAAAGUGCACAUCAUUGCCACCGGUCAGCCAACUACCAUCACUCAAACACCUUUUCAUUGAAGGCAUGACGAAUGUGAAGAAUGUUGGUGUUGAGUUUUAUGGAAAAGGUUCAUCACAACCUUUUAGAUCAUUGGAGAUUUUACAUUUCAAGAAUAUGAAGGAAUGGGAGAACUGGAGUCCUAAUGGAGGGUUCCCACACCUCCUUGAGCUUUAUAUUGUAAAUUGUCCCAAGUUGGAGAAGUUAGCAAUCGGGCCUUCACCAUCUCUCAAAGUCCUAUCCAUUGAACGCAUGGCCAGUGUAAAGAAUUUGCCCAAUGGAGAGUUUCCACACCUGAGUGACCUUUAUAUUGCAUUUUGUCCCAAGCUAUUGGGGGAAUUACCAAACCACCUUCCUUCACUAAAAAAUGUUGAGAUACGUGCAUGUGAAGGGUUGCGGAUUUCAAUUUCAAGCUUUCUGAAAGAGGUGUGGUGCAGCAGUGAGGCUGAUUUCAGUUUACUAAUGUCCAAUUCUCUUUCAAGGAUUCCAGAAUUCACAUUUCCAACAGAACGAUUAAUUUUUGAUGUAGAAGUUCUAGAUUUUCAUGGUUGUGAGGAGAUGACGGAUUUGUCGUCAAAUAUGUUGGCAUUACUACAACGCCUCCCCUCUCUUCGUGUUCUAACCUUUUGUAGCUGUCCAAAACUAGUUUCUUUAGUAGCAGAAGUAAAAGAGAAGCCACAACAAAGUUUUCCUUCCACGCUGAGAGAAAUUUCUAUCAUUAAUUGCAAGGCCUUGGAAUCUUUACCCAACGCGUGUCUUGAGAAGAUGACGAUUACUGGAUGUGAUUCGCUGAAGCACUUUGCAAUAGGCCAGCUACCUCAAACUCUAAAGCGACUAGUGAUAGAAUUUUGCAAGAAUAUGGUGAUUUUGCUAGAAGAUGAUGAUACCAACAGUUGUAGUAGCAGCACAUCCCUUCUUGAGUACUUGCUUAUUCAAGACUGUCCAUCUCUUAAAUCCUUAAACCUAAUGGGAGAAUUACCUGCAACACUGAAAACCUUCAUAAUUAGCAAUUGUGAAAAGCUGGAGUCAAUGGCAGAGAGCUUCCAUCCCGAUUCGUCUCUUGAAGAAAUUGUUAUUAUCGGUUGUGAAAACCUUAAAUCCUUACCCAUGGGCAUACACACUCUCAACCAUUUAGAGAAGGUUGAAAUUCUUAAUUGUCCAUCUCUUGUCUCCUUCCCGGACAGAGGGUUGCUCCCAAGCAACAUUAAAUGGUUAUGGAUUUCUAAAUUGGCCCUACACGACAGCAUACUCAGCAUCACCUCGCUUCAAGAUUUGUCAAUCUCGAAUUCCAGCAACAUUGAGGCCUUUUUAGAUUGGGGGUUGCACAGGCUUACCUCUCUUAAGUAUCUUUAUAUUAAUGGAUGUCCGAAUCUGGUGUCCUUUCCCGAGAACAUGCUGCCUGCGUCUCUUAGUAGCCUCUCCAUCAUACGCUUCCACAAUCUGAAAUUGCUGUCUUCCAAAGGCUUUCGAAACCUCGCCUCUCUUAAAAUGCUGUGUAUCGAGGAGUGUGAAAAUCUCACUUCCUUUCCAGAGGUUGGCUUGCCUCCCUCCCUCGAGGAACUCGUGAUCAACGGUUGUCCUCGGCUGAAAGAAAGCUGCAAGAAAGAUAACGAACGAGAGUGGUCCAAGAUAGCCCACAUCCCUUGCGUUGAGGUUGAUCGCAGAUUCAUCUAUGACCCGGAAGAGUAGAAUCAGGGUAGGUCGAUCUGUCGCCAAUUGGCACGCAGAUUUUGUGUUAUGAGCCUAAUUGUUAUGGGAUCUAGCAAGGAGAGCCAACCAAAAGAAGAUGUGGAAAGCUGAGCUUUGUGCGGAAGACGUGUGUGGAAGUGGGAAACUAGAAGUGAACGUGGCUGAAGCUAGGAGUGCAAGGCAGUAGUGGAUACGUGUACUGUGGAAUUGCAUAUGUUAGUCUUUCUAGGAUAGUUAGUGGGUCAAAACAUGUUCUUUAUGUUAGUGGGUCAGUUAUAAGGAAGUGGGUCUAUUAUGUAAUGGGUAGUUAUUAUGAAGUGGGUUUAGUGGGUAGUUGUUUACUUUAGCUUGUCUUUGUAUUUAAAUUCAGCUGGGAUUAUCAAUGAAAGAGCCGUGGGUGGGUCCACUAUGGCAGUCAGUCAUCGCCACGAGCCACACAUCAUGCUAUUCAAGAGGCCUCUAAACCGUUAGCAGCAGGAAGAGAAC